GAUGAACGCUGGCGGCGUGCCUAAUACAUGCAAGUCGAGCGAACAGACGAGGAGCUUGCUCCUCUUACGUUAGCGGCGGACGGGUGAGUAACACGUGGAGAACCUACCUAUAAGACUGGGAUAACUUCGGGAAACCGGAGCUAAAACCGGAUAAUAUAUUGAACCGCAUGGUUCAAUAGUGAAAGACGGUUUUGCUGUCACUUAUAGAUGGAUCCGCGCCGCAUUAGCUAGUUGGUAAGGUAACGGCUUACCAAGGCAACGAUGCGUAGCCGACCUGAGAGGGUGAUCGGCCACACUGGAACUUAGACACGGUCCAGACUCCUACGGGAGGCAGCAGUAGGGAAUUUUCCGCAAUGGGCGAAAGCCUGACGGAGCAACGCCGCGUGAGUGAUGAAGGUCUUCGGAUCGUAAAACUCUGUUAUUAGGGAAGAACAAAUGUGUAAGUAACUAUGCACGUCUUGACGGUACCUAAUCAGAAAGCCACGGCUAACUACGUG
rnacentral:rRNA from 1 species